rnacentral:tRNA from 1 species
GGCUUGUUAGCUCAAUUGGUAGAGCGCUGCACUAUUAUCGCAGCGGUCAGUGGUUCGAAUCCCGUACAGGCCU